rnacentral:lncRNA from 1 species
CUUUAUUCUUGCUAAAUGCAGAUUCUGACUUAGUAGGUUUGUAGCGGGGCCAAGAUUCUGCAUUUCUGAUAAACUUCCAGGUGAGGUUGAAGCUGCUGGUCCCUGGACUGCACUCUGAGCAGUGAAGAUUUAAAGGAAAGAAAUGGCCACAUCUGGCCCAACUGUGCCUGUGGUUUGAGAAUCAUACCUGCUGCUUGGCUUCAAGGCCGUCAUUCAGGGCUCUUGACAAAUCGUGCAGCCCCUCCACUCAGCCUGUUGCCCCCAAAAACCAAAUGGGUCUUUCCCCAGCUCCAUGCUUCCUGUAUGACAUAGGAGUGGUCAGGGUGGGCAGUGGGCUCCGGAGCCAGCUUACUUGGGUCCAGAUUCCAGCCGUGGCAGCUACAGGUGGCAAGACUGUGGGGAAAUGAUUUUAUUUGUCUUGCCAUUUAGUUUCUCAUCUGCAAAAUGGAAAACUCAUGACAGCUUCUUUACAGAGCUAUUUGAAGAUUCAAAGGCAUAAUAUAUAUCAAAAGUCUGGCACACAGGAGGG